UUACAAUCAUGGUGUCCACAGAACAGUCUACAGUUGUGCUUCAAGAUCUAUCGUACACUUCAUUUGAGUCACACAUGUCAGACACCUCAUCUGUGUCAGAUGCUUCAACCUCAGCGGUGUCAGUUUCAUCAGAUGCAACAAUAAUUCCUGAGAGAGACAGUGGAGCAAAAAGAAGCCACAGUGAUCGUGAAUCAGCCAGAGAGAUGGUCAGAGAUGUUCUACAGUCCAAGCCAGGGGGAGAAAA